rnacentral:rRNA from 1 species
CCUACGGGUGGCAGCAGUGAGGAAUAUUGGUCAAUGGACGCAAGUCUGAACCAGCCAUGCCGCGUGCAGGAAGACGGCUCUAUGAGUUGUAAACUUCUUUUGUACGAGGGUAAACGCAGAUACGCGUAUCUGUUUGAAAGUAUCUUAUGAAUAAGGAUCGGCUAACUCCGUGCCAGCAGCCGCGGUAAUACGGAGGAUUCAAGCGUUAUCCGGAUUUAUUGGGUUUAAAGGGUGCGUAGGCGGUCUGAUAAGUUAGAUGUGAAAUUCCGAGGCUCAACUUCGGAAUUGCAUCUGAUACUGGUAGGCUAGAGAGUAGUUGAGGUAGGCGGAAUGUAUGGUGUAGCGGUGAAAUGCUUAGAGAUCAUACAGAACACCGAUUGCGAAGGCAGCUUACCAAGCUACUUCUGACGUUGAGGCACGAAAGCGUGGGGAGCAAACAGGAUUAGAUACCCCGGUAGUC